UACGGGGGGGGCAAGCGUUGUUCGGAAUUACUGGGCGUAAAGGGCUCGUAGGUGGCCAACUAAGUCAGACGUGAAAUCCCUCAGCUUAACUGGGGAACUGCGUCUGAUACUGGAUGGCUCGAGUUUGGGAGAGGGAUGCGGAAUUCCAGGUGUAGCGGUGAAAUGCGUAGAUAUCUGGAGGAACACCGGUGGCGAAGGCGGCAUCCUGGACCAACACUGACGCUGAUGAGCGAAAGCCAGGGGAGCAAACGGG
rnacentral:rRNA from 1 species